UGUCAGGAGGUUAUGAAUUUGAACACUCAGGCUCAUAACCUGAAGGUCGUAGGUUCAAAUCCUACUCCCGCAA
rnacentral:tRNA from 1 species